UAUACCCUGGUAGUCCAUGCCGUAAACGUUGGGCACUAGGUGUGGGGGACAUUCCACGUUUUCCGCGCCGUAGCUAACGCAUUAAGUGCCCCGCCUGGGGAGUACGGCCGCAAGGCUAAAACUCAAAGGAAUUGACGGGGGCCCGCACAAGCGGCGGAGCAUGCGGAUUAAUUCGAUGCAACGCGAAGAACCUUACCAAGGCUUGACAUGAACCGGACCGCCGCAGAAAUGUGGUUUCCCCUUUGGGGCUGGUUUACAGGUGGUGCAUGGUUGUCGUCAGCUCGUGUCGUGAGAUGUUGGGUUAAGUCCCGCAACGAGCGCAACCCUCGUUCUAUGUUGCCAGCACGUGAUGGUGGGGACUCAUAGGAGACUGCCGGGGUCAACUCGGAGGAAGGUGGGGACGACGUCAAAUCAUCAUGCCCCUUAUGUCUUGGGCUUCACGCAUGCUACAAUGGCCGGUACAAAGGGUUGCGAUACUGUGAGGUGGAGCUAAUCCCAAAAAGCCGGUCUCAGUUCGGAUUGGGGUCUGCAACUCGACCCCAUGAAGUCGGAGUCGCUAGUAAUCGCAGAUCAGCAACGCUGCGGUGAAUACGUUCCCGGGCCUUGUACACACCGCCCGUCAAGUCACGAAAGUUGGUAACACCCGAAGCCGGUGGCCUAACCCCUU
rnacentral:rRNA from 1 species